AUUGAACGCUGGCGGCAGGCUUAACACAUGCAAGUCGAGCGGGGUGAUGGUGCUUGCACUAUCACUUAGCGGCGGACGGGUGAGUAAUGCUUAGGAAUCUGCCUAUUAGUGGGGGACAACAUCUCGAAAGGGAUGCUAAUACCGCAUACGUCCUACGGGAGAAAGCAGGGGAUCACUUGUGACCUUGCGCUAAUAGAUGAGCCUAAGUCGGAUUAGCUAGUUGGUGGGGUAAAGGCCUACCAAGGCGACGAUCUGUAGCGGGUCUGAGAGGAUGAUCCGCCACACUGGGACUGAGACACGGCCCAGACUCCUACGGGAGGCAGCAGUGGGGAAUAUUGGACAAUGGGGGUACCCCUGAUCCAGCCAUGCCGCGUGUGUGAAGAAGGCCUUAUGGUUGUAAAGCACUUUAAGCGAGGAUGAGGCUCUUUUGGUUAAUACCCAAGAUGAGUGGACGUUACUCGCAGAAUAAGCACCGUCUAACUCUGUGCCAGCAGCCGCCGUAA
rnacentral:rRNA from 1 species